GACAUAGGUGGCGAACGUUAUCCGGAAUUACUGGGCGUAAAGAGUGCGUAGGUGGUUCAAUAAGUUACUGGUGGGAAAUCGGGGCUCAACCUCGUGGAAGUCAGUAAUACUAUUAAACUAGAGGGUCGGAGAGGUUAACGGAAUUCUAUGUGUAGCGGUAAAAUGCUUAAAUAUAUAGAGGAACACCAAACGGCGAAGUCAGUUAACUAUUCGAUUCCUGACGUUGAGGCACGAAAGCGUGGGGAGCAAGACGG
rnacentral:rRNA from 1 species